rnacentral:lncRNA from 1 species
UAGGUAUUUUGUUCUGUUGAACCGGUAUAGUGGGCGCUGGUCUGCAGUGUGAAAUAGAGGGUAUGAGAUUCCUGACUACUGGAGGAAAGAUGCGAAGGUUCCUCUCUACUACUUGUGUCUUGGCCAAAACGGCUGAGUAAGUACUGAGUUCAAAUACAUACAACUGCUGUCUAAUCUCAGGACGAAUGCCCCAUUCGAACUUCCUUGCCUUUCUGCCUUUAUCCAUCAUGUUCUCAGGGAAAUAUCAGCCCAACUUGAGGAACCUUCGGGCAUACUCCAACACAGUCAUAUCACCCUAGACUAGGUGUGCAAACUCUAUUUUCUUCAGAUGCGAGAGGUAUUCUAG